GUGGGUACAGCUCAGUGGUAAAGUACAUGCUUUGCAUGCAUGAAGUCCUGGGUUCAAACCCCAGGACCUGCA
rnacentral:tRNA from 1 species